AGAAUCAACGCUGGCGGCGUGCCUAACACAUGCAAGUCGAACGAGAAAGUGGAGCAAUCCAUGAGUAAAGUGGCGACCGGGUGAGUAACACGUGACUAACCUACCCUUGAGUGGGGGAUAACUGAGGGAAACCUUAGCUAAUACCGCAUAAUACCCACGGGUCAAAGGAGCAAUUCGCUCGAGGAGGGGGUCGCGGCCGAUUAGUUAGUUGGCGGGGUAAUGGCCCACCAAGACGAUGAUCGGUA
rnacentral:rRNA from 1 species